AGUCAGACACUGCAGGUCACUGCCAGAAGUGGGGCACCACAGAAAAAUGUUGAGAAAUAUGCUUACUGCCAUCAGUCUGUGGUGAUCUAGAGAUCUGCCCAUCAACAAAAGAAGGAGUUGGCUUUAGCCUUUUCUGUCUCUUCAGGAAUAUAGGACAGCAAUUGCCUGAUUCAUUGAAGCUGAUCAAGUUAAGACUCUCCCCCUGCUACAUGACCUGAAGACCGCUUCUUCUGUAGACUCAGAGUGGCUGCCUUUGACACAGACCCUUCUCAACAGAAAACAGCUAUAAUGCCCCCUGCCAUGCAUUUUUAUAUUCUCUCAGAGUUAAGAAUGAUACCUGAAAGACUACUCUUAACCAGCUUCCCUUAUGUGUAGAGUUGUAAGAGGACACAUUGUUAGAGUUUCUGCCAUAGAAGAGUACUUUGGCGGAUUGGGGUCAAGGAAUGCUGCAGAGAUCACACCACACAAGAGAGAGAUGCUAUGGAAUAAUUCUCUGUAUACUGUGAAGAUGUGUUGCUCUCAUUGUUAAUAAAGAACUGACUGGCCAAUAGCUAGGCAGGAUU